AGCUCCACUAGCGUAUAUUAAAGUUGCUGCAGUUAAAAAGCUCGUAGUCGGAUCUCGGGAUCGUAUCUCGUCGGUGUCGUUGGGUCAUGCCUCGAAAGGGGUUGUGGUCUUUCGGCGUCUUCGGGGUCUCAUCCGGAGGGUCUCUGGCUUCACGCCGGGGUUUCACCUUCCGCGAUGGCCCGCCGUCGCGUUUGGGUGGGUGUCCUUAAUUGGAUGCCCGCCGUCGAACGUGACCAUUUUACCUUGAACAAAUCGGAGUGCUCAACGCAGGCUCCACCACGCUCGAACGGUAGCGCAUGGAAUAAUGGAAGAGGACCAGCUUCCGCUUCUAUUGGUCUCACGGAGGCAGGUAAUGAUCAAGAGGAACGGAUGGGGGCAGAGGUAUGGCUCGGCGAGAGGUGAAAUUCUUGGACCCUAGCCAGACCCUCGAGAGCGAAAGCAUCUGCCAAAGAUGUUUUCA
rnacentral:rRNA from 1 species